UGUGGCCGUAAGAGGUUGAAACACCAGCUCUCGUAUAUUAACUGAAGUUAAGCAACGCCGUGUCUAGUCAGUACCUAGAUGGGUAACUGCUUGGGAAUACCAGGUGCUGUAAG